AUUCAGAUGACGAGUCUCAAAUAAGACGAAAAGCGUGUCAUGGAU
rnacentral:hammerhead_ribozyme from 1 species